ACAGAGGGUGCGAGCGUUGUCCGGAAUCACUGGGCGUAAAGGGCGCGUAGGUGGCCCGGCAAGUCUGUGGUGAAAGCUCGACGCUCAACGUCGAGUCGGCCACGGAUACUGCGGGGCUGGAGCACUGUAGAGGCAGAUGGAAUUCCGGGUGUAGCGGUGGAAUGCGUAGAGAUCCGGAAGAACACCAGUGGCGAAGGCGGUCUGCUGGGCGGUGAGCUCGCGAGAGCUCAAUAGCCGACACUGAGGCGCGACAGCGUGGGGAGCAAACAGGA
rnacentral:rRNA from 1 species